AUUGAACGCUGGCGGCAUGCCUUACACAUGCAAGUCGAACGGCAGCAUGGAAGAGCUUGCUCUUCUGAUGGCGAGUGGCGAACGGGUGAGUAAAGCAUCGGAACGUACCGUGUAGUGGGGGAUAACGUAGCGAAAGUUACGCUAAUACCGCAUACGCACUGAGGUGGAAAGCAGGGGAUCGCAAGACCUUGCGCUAUACGAGCGGCCGAUGUCAGAUUAGCUAGUUGGUAGGGUAAAGGCCUACCAAGGCGACGAUCUGUAGCGGGUCUGAGAGGAUGAUCCGCCACACUGGGACUGAGACACGGCCCAGACUCCUACGGGAGGCAGCAGUGGGGAAUUUUGGACAAUGGGCGAAAGCCUGAUCCAGCCAUGCCGCGUGAGUGAAGAAGGCCUCGGUGUAAGCUCUUCGUCGUGGAGAAUACGCACAGGCUAAUACUCUGUGUGGAGUGACGGUACGAGCACAAGAAGACACC
rnacentral:rRNA from 1 species